AAAAUAUUCCUUCACCACCAUUCUCACCUCUGAUCAUUAGCAUAUCAUCGGUGCCUCCUUUACGAACUUUCACUCCCCCAUGACUCAACACUAUCACCACCACCUCGCUCUCGAUUAAUUGUCUGCUCCAUUUUUGCUACAACCUUCGUUAGACUCCUUUGCGGCACUAUUAUCAGAUUGUCACUACUAUCCCGCUCUCCAUUGGCUGCCAAAAGCAGAAGAGG
rnacentral:lncRNA from 1 species